AGCGAACGCUGGCGGCAGGCCUAACACAUGCAAGUCGAACGAAGUCUUCGGACUUAGUGGCGGACGGGUGAGUAACACGUGGGAACGUGCCUUUAGGUUCGGAAUAACUCAGGGAAACUUGUGCUAAUACCGAAUGUGCCCUUCGGGGGAAAGAUUUAUCGCCUUUAGAGCGGCCCGCGUCUGAUUAGCUAGUUGGUGAGGUAAAGGCUCACCAAGGCGACGAUCAGUAGCUGGUCUGAGAGGAUGAUCAGCUACAUUGGGACUGAGACACGGCCCAAACUCCUACGGGAGGCAGCAGUGGGGAAUCUUGCGCAAUGGGCGAAAGCCUGACGCAGCCAUGCCGUGUGAAUGAUGAAGGUCUUAGGAUUGUAAAAUUCUUUCACCGGGGACGAUAAUGACGGUACCCGGAGAAGAAGCCCCGGCUAACUUCGUGCCAGCCGCCGCAGUAACAC
rnacentral:rRNA from 1 species